rnacentral:rRNA from 1 species
CUAUAGGCUUAACACAUGCAAGUCGAGGGGCAGCGAAUAGAUAGCUUGCUAUUUAUGUCGGCGACCGGCGCACGGGUGAGUAACGCGUAUCCAACCUGCCCAUAACUAAGGGAUAUCCCACGAAGGCAUCCGAAUGGGAUUAAAGAUUUAUCGGUGAUGGAUGGGGAUGCGUCUGAUUAGCUUGUUGGCGGGGUAACGGCCCACCAAGGCAACGAUCAGUAGGGGUUCUGAGAGGAAGGUCCCCACAUUGGAACUGAGACACGGUCCAAACUCC